AAAGUUUUAAGUUAUGUAAACUAGCAACCUUCAAAGUUGCCAAAGAAAAGAUAUUUCAAACUUUA
rnacentral:tRNA from 1 species